rnacentral:rRNA from 1 species
AUUGAACGCUAGCGGGAUGCCUUACACAUGCAAGUCGAACGGAGUGGCGAACGGGUGAUUAAUGUAUCGGAAGGUGCCCGGUAGCGGGGUAUACCUACGCGAAAGCGUACCUUAUACCGCAUACUAUUGGAGCGGCCGAUAGCGGAUUAGCUAGUUGGUGGGGUAACGGCUCACCAAGGCGACGAUUCGUAGCUGGUUUGAGAGGACGACCAGCCACACUGGGACUGAGACACGGCCCAGACUCCUACGGGAGGCAGCAGUAGGGAAUUUUGGACAAUGGAGGAAAGCCUGACCCAGCAAUCCCGCGUGAGCGAAGAAGGCCUUCGGGUUGUAAAGCACUGUUGGCAGGAAAGCGGUACCUAAAGAAAAAGCACCGGCUAACUACGUGCCAGCAGCCGCGGUAAUAC